rnacentral:tRNA from 1 species
GCGGGAGUGGUGAAAUUGGUAGACACGCAGGAUUUAGGUUCCUGUGCCUUCGGGCGUGGGGGUUCAAGUCCCCCCUUCCGCAC